rnacentral:rRNA from 1 species
GACAGAGGUGCCGAGCGUUAGGCGGAAUCACUGGGCUUAAAGCGUGUGUAGGCGGACCGUUAAGUACCUUGUGAAAUCCCCCGGCUCAACCGGGGAACGGCUGGGUAUACUGGCGGGCUUGAGCCAUCCAGGGGCAGUCCGAACAGACGGUGGAGCGGUGAAAUGCGUAGAUAUCGUCUGGAACGCCGAAGGUGAAAACAGACUGCUGGGGAUGCGCUGACGCUGAGACACGAAAGCCAGGGGAGCGAACGGG